rnacentral:lncRNA from 1 species
UUUUUUUGUGUUAAAAGACAUUUUUAUUCCACCCUUAAGCAACAGUGUUUCCAAAAUUUCUUCAUAGGCUCUAAGAGGAGGCAUGUGGUAAGGCCAAGAUUUGGGAAACUUGAAGUUCCUGUUGUGACUCAGCAGUUAAGGAACCCAACUAGUGUCCAUGAGGAGACUGCAAGCACACCAAGGGGAGUUUCUGGACAGCUAGAGGACAUCUGAGGAGCACGGCUAAGCCUCAAACCCUCCUUAGGACUACUGUGAACCCCUAUACUUCUGCAGCUACAGUUCCAAAUUUCUGGGCUCCGUCCCAACAAAAUGUCUAGAAAAAUUUGCUCUAUUUUUGAUCCUCGUUUUUUUUUUUUCUCAUUUCAGAACAGUGAUGGCUUUUCCAGGUAAAGCAUCUUGUUACCUUAUAAGUUUCAUUAAAUAGAUGGCCUUUGAACUAGACCUUGCAGAAUGGGUAAAAUUUAUUUUGGAAAAGAAGUGAAAGAGGGCUAUCAGAGAGUGUUUUCAUGAAUGUAUAAGCCUGGAAUCUGGAUGUCUUUGAUAAGGAGCGAUAAAAGGGUACAUUUGGGUGUGGAUUAAUUCACUUACUCAGUAUAUACAUAUAUAUAGAAACCACAAUUUGAUACAGGAAAUAUAGCAAAGGAUUAGACCUGGUCCAGCUCUCAUGAUGUUCAGAGACAGUGAUGGUUCCGGGGGCAGAGAGACGCAGUGGACAUCAAGAGGUGGGCUAAUUCAUUAUUUGAAGAAUCUUCAAUGACACACAAAGGAGUUUGAAUUUUAUCCCAUCACUACUUAUAACAGCACUUUUUUUGACACUAAUCACAUGCUGGGCAGUAUUCACUAUUUAUUAUUGUAACAACCUUAUGAUAUAGAGAGAUAUUUGUUAUCUCCAUUUUACUGACAGGGAGACUGAAGCAUGGAGUAGGUACCUAACUUGGCUAAGGACUCAGAGCUAAUAAGAGGUAGAGUCAGGAUUGAGUCCAGGUAUUUUGGCUUCAGAGUCUAUAGUCUUAUCAUUUGUAAAUAUAUAAUAUGUGGCUAAAGCGAAGCUUUUUUAUAUGAAAAAAGUAAAACAAGGUUAAUGAUGUUGGGAAAAAUCAUUGGAAGAUGCAGCAGUGUGUAUCAGAGCCUGGACUAGACUCCACAAGGCUUUAGGUCCAUUGCUGCUUCUGCUCCACAUAGAGUGUGCACUAGUGUGCAAAAACUUUGUGGA